GGGGUUGGGGAUUUAGCUCAGUGGUAGAGCGCUUGCCUAGCAAGCGCAAGGCCCUGGGUUCGGUCCCCAGCUCCGAAAAAAAAAAAAAAAGAAAAAAAAAUU
rnacentral:scRNA from 1 species